rnacentral:rRNA from 1 species
UACGUAGGGCGCAAGCGUUGUCCGGAUUUAUUGGGCGUAAAGAGCUCGUAGGCGGUCUGUCGCGUCGGAUGUGAAAACCCAGGGCUCAACCCUGGGCCUGCAUUCGAUACGGGCAGACUAGAGUAUGGCAGGGGAGACUGGAAUUCCUGGUGUAGCGGUGAAAUGCGCAGAUAUCAGGAGGAACACCGGUGGCGAAGGCGGGUCUCUGGGCCAAAACUGACGCUGAGGAGCGAAAGCGUAGGGAGCGAACAGG